AUCAUUACUGAGUUUACGCUCUACAACCCUUUGUGAACAUACCUAUAACUGUUGCUUCGGCGGGUAGGGUCCCCGUGACCCUCCCGGCCUCCCGCCCCCGGGCGGGUCGGCGCCCGCCGGAGGAUAACCAAACUCUGAUUUAACGACGUUUCUUCUGAGUGGUACAAGCAAAUAAUCAAAACUUUUAACAACGGAUCUCUUGGUUCUGGCAUCGAUGAAGAACGCAGCGAAAUGCGAUAAGUAAUGUGAAUUGCAGAAUUCAGUGAAUCAUCGAAUCUUUGAACGCACAUUGCGCCCGCCAGCAUUCUGGCGGGCAUGCCUGUUCGAGCGUCAUUUCAACCCUCAAGCUCUGCUUGGUGUUGGGGCCCUACGGCUGACGUAGGCCCUCAAAGGUAGUGGCGGACCCUCCCGGAGCCUCCUUUGCGUAGUAACUUUACGUCUCGCACUGGGAUCCGGAGGGACUCUUGCCGUAAAACCCCCAAUUUUCCAAAGGUUGACCUCGGAUCAGGUA
rnacentral:rRNA from 1 species